AGCUCUGCUGCCGCCGCCGCGUUCCGAUCCCCGCUGGCCCUAUCCGUCGCCCCAACCCCGCCAAACCAAGCUCAGGUGAGCCCCCACACCCUCCCGGCCACUUGUUGCCCCAUCCUCGCCGGCGAACCGCCGGUAAUUUUCCCACCGCCGCCGCGCGCGCCCCCGGGGACUACAUUGCGUCGUCCCCAUUCUUUCCAGGGGCCUAGGCGCAAAACUUAGGGACCCCUGCGUAGUUUAACCUUAAACCUAGGGCCUAGCUUGCAAGUCUGCCACGGCUUUUCUUUUAAUAAUAGUUAGAAAAAUGUUUGAACUUUGGAAAUGCCUAGUAAAUCGUAGAAAACUCAUAAAAAUGCCAAACUACUUUUGUUGGAAUCCUUGCUCUGUCUAG
rnacentral:lncRNA from 1 species